UUACAAUGGAUAUCAAGCCAAGUUAUGAGAACCAUAAAAAGUGACUUAUUGGCUGUUUCAGUGAAUUUUUAUGUGCAUUUUUCUAGUAUGAUACAAUGACAUUUGAAUACGUAACUACAUUUGUAAUAAUGGUCUUCAGUGAUUUUUAUCAAAGUAUAUGAAUAUUACAACUUUUUAUAUUCAUUCAAUUUAGAAUGAGAAUCCGGCUCCAACUUCAUUAACUUGCUAAACAAAUAUACAUUCCUUUUUCAAUGUUUAUUUAUUGAAUAGACAUUUAAUGACGACAGAAAUAGCUCUAAAAAUAUUUAUUCGAUAUUUAUGUAACUAUCUAAAUAGGUUAAUUACGGUACAUAGGAUUGGGGCUAACACUAAUGGAAGAAUUCAGGACCUCCAAUAUUUCAGAACCAAAAAUUCCUUACAUUAACCGCAGAUACAUCUCAUUACAGUACUAGAAUGUAUUACGAGCUGGCCAAGAGUUGGUGACAGGACAUGAGAGUCGUUUCAAGCACGAUUUUUAUAUUUAUUUAUGGGAUUUUUUUUUUCAUUUACGAGCCCCGUCAAGAAAAUAAUUAUCUCGCGUGCUAAAGUGAUAUAGUAUUAUUUUUCUUUUAAGUACCAAUCUGUUAAUGCUCAAAAUCAAGAUGAGUUCCCAGUCGAGUCUAAUCUUUCAAUUUAGAUCUUUACAAUGAUCCAUAAUAAUAAAAUAUAUCUUACUAAAAUAUUCACAAAUAAAUGCAUAAUCAAACAUACAGACAAAACAGAUAAUUCACAGAAAUAUGUCGUAUUUCAGUAAAAAUGAUGAAUGAAAUAACAAAUAGUUGUUUCGUAAAUACUUUUUUUUUUCAAGCGUUAGAAAAAAUAUUUUU
rnacentral:lncRNA from 1 species